CUCUUCCACGGAUUUGAAGCAACAGGUGUUCAUCCUUCUUCCCCUCAGCAGCACGAAGGAGUUGAUCUGCUGUGGUAAACAAAGUUUAUACUCAGGCAUGCAACAGGCAGGAGGUGUGGAGCCCUUUUGGGUUGUUCUGGGCCACUUGAAGAGCGCAGAACCCGAACCUUGGAUGGAGCACCAUCACUGGUAUCUGGCAGCGGUUCUUCUGAACAUUGUAAUGGCACUAAAAUGUAAGUUACAAGUGAUCAAUAAAUGGAAAUGAUCUAAAUUCACAUUGUUUCUAACAAUUGUAAAUAAAUUAAAAAUCAUA